rnacentral:rRNA from 1 species
GACGAACGCUGGCGGCGUGCUUAACACAUGCAAGUCGAACGGUGAAGGGACCAGCUUGCUGGUUCUGGAUGAGUGGCGAACGGGUGAGUAACACGUGAGUAACCUGCCCCCUUCUUCUGGAUAACCGCAUGAAAGUGUGGCUAAUACGGGAUAUUCUGGGUCUGUCGCAUGGCGGGCCCGGGAAAGAUAUUGCUUCGGUGGGGGAUGGGCUCGCGGCCUAUCAGCUUGUUGGUGGGGUGAUGGCCUACCAAGGCGGUGACGGGUAGCCGGCCUGAGAGGGUGGACGGUCACACUGGGACUGAGACACGGCCCAGACUCCUACGGGAGGCAGCAGUGGGGAAUAUUGCACAAUGGGCGCAAGCCUGAUGCAGCGACGCCGCGUGAGGGAGGGAGGCCUUCGGGUUGUAAACCUCUUUCGCCAGUGAAGCAGGCCUGCUCCUUGUGGGUGGGUUGACGGUAGCUGGAGAAGAAGCGCCGGCUAACUACGUG